rnacentral:rRNA from 1 species
GAUGAACGCUGGCGGCGUGCCUAAUACAUGCAAAUCGAGCGAACAGACGAGGAGCUUGCUCCUCUGACGUUAGCGGCGGACGGGUGAGUAACACGUGGAUAACCUACCUAUAAGACUUGGAUAACUUCGGGAAACCGGAGCUAAUACCGGAUAAUAUAUUGAACCGCAUGGUUCAAUAGUGAAAGACGGUUUUGCUGUCACUUAUAGAUGGAUCCGCGCCGCAUUAGCUAGUUGGUAAGGUAACGGCUUACCAAGGCAACGAUGCGUAGCCGACCUGAGAGGGUGAUCGGCCACACUGGAACUGAGACACGGUCCAGACUCCUACGGGAGGCAGCAGUAGGGAAUCUUCCGCAAUGGGCGAAAGCCUGACGGAGCAACGCCGCGUGAGUGAUGAAGGUCUUCGGAUCGUAAAACUCUGUUAUUAGGGAAGAACAAAUGUGUAAGUAACUAUGCACGUCUUGACGGUACCUAAUCAGAAAGCCACGGCUAACUACGUG